UACGUAGGGGGCAAGCGUUGUCCGGAAUUAUUGGGCGUAAAGAGCGUGUAGGCGGUCCGGUAAGUCAGCUGUGAAAGUCAGGGGCUCAACCCCUGAAUGCGGGUGGAUACUGCUGGGCUAGAGUCCGGAAGAGGCGAGUGGAAUUCCUGGUGUAGCGGUGAAAUGCGCAGAUAUCAGGAGGAACACCGAUGGCGAAGGCGGGUUGCUGGGCCGACACUGACGCUGAGGCGCGAAAGCCAGGGGAGCGAACGGG
rnacentral:rRNA from 1 species